AGAGUUUGAUCCUGGCUCAGGAUGAACGCUAGCGGCAGGCCUAACACAUGCAAGUCGAGGGGCAUCGGGAUUGAAGCUUGCUUCAAUUGCCGGCGACCGGCGCACGGGUGCGUAACGCGUAUGUAACCUACCUAUAACAGGGGCAUAACACUGAGAAAUUGGUACUAAUUCCCCAUAAUAUUCGGAGAGGCAUCUCUCCGGGUUGAAAACUCCGGUGGUUAUAGAUGGACAUGCGUUGUAUUAGCUAGUUGGUGAGGUAACGGCUCACCAAGGCAACGAUACAUAGGGGGACUGAGAGGUUAACCCCCCACAUUGGUACUGAGACACGGACCAAACUCCUACGGGAGGCAGCAGUGAGGAAUAUUGGUCAAUGGACGCAAGUCUGAACCAGCCAUGCCGCGUGCAGGAAGACGGCUCUAUGAGUUGUAAACUGCUUUUGUACGAGGGUAAACUCACCUACGUGUAGGUGACUGAAAGUAUCGUACGAAUAAGGAUCGGCUAACUCCGUGCCAGCAGCCGCGGUAAUACGGAGGAUUCAAGCGUUAUCCGGAUUUAUUGGGUUUAAAGGGUGCGUAGGCGGUUUGAUAAGUUAGAGGUGAAAUACCGGUGCUUAACACCGGAACUGCCUCUAAUACUGUUGAACUAGAGAGUAGUUGCGGUAGGCGGAAUGUAUGGUGUAGCGGUGAAAUGCUUAGAGAUCAUACAGAACACCGAUUGCGAAGGCAGCUUACCAAACUAUAUCUGACGUUGAGGCACGAAAGCGUGGGGAGCAAACAGGAUUAGAUACCCUGGUAGUCCACGCAGUAAACGAUGAUAACUCGUUGUCGGCGAUACACAGUCGGUGACUAAGCGAAAGCGAUAAGUUAUCCACCUGGGGAGUACGUUCGCAAGAAUGAAACUCAAAGGAAUUGACGGGGGCCCGCACAAGCGGAGGAACAUGUGGUUUAAUUCGAUGAUACGCGAGGA
rnacentral:rRNA from 1 species